CCCCUCUCUGGGUCGCACCUGGAGUGUUUUCAGCGCUCUACCAGCCUCGACUAUGAGAGGGAGAGUCAAGCAGAGGCUUACCCAUUCCAUUUCUAGCUUGGGCAGUGGCUAGUGAGUGGAAGGCUACCUGCUACAAGU